GUCUUUUUGAAAUAAAUUUAAAGUCUGACCUGCCCACUGAAAUAUUAAAGGGCCGCGGUAUUUUGACCGUGCAAAGGUAGCAUAAUCAUUAGUUUUUUAAUUGAAAGCUUGUAUGAAUGGUUGGACGAAAUAUUUACUGUCUCAUAAAAAUUUAUAUUAGAAAUUAAUUUUUUUGUUAAAAAGCAAAAAUAUUAUUAAAGGACGAGAAGACCCUAUAGAGCUUUAUAAUUUAAUUAUUUAAUUUUUUAAGAAAACUUUAAAUUUUAUAAAAAUAAUUAUUUUGUUGGGGUGACAAUAAAAUUUAUAAAACUUUUAUUAUAAAUAAAACAUUGAUUAAUGAGCAUUUGAUCCAUUAUUAAUGAUUAAAAAAUUAAGUUACCUUAGGGAUAACAGCGUAAUUUUUUUUAAGAGUUCAUAUCGACAAAAAAGAUUGCGACCUCGAUGUUGGAUUAAGAGUUAUUUUUAGGUGUAGAAGUUUAAAAUUUAGGUCUGUUCGACCUUUGAAUUCUU
rnacentral:rRNA from 1 species